UCACCCCUCAAGCCUAGCUUGGUGUUGAGGCCUGCUGUAAGGGCAGCCUCUAAAAUCAGUGGCAGUGCUGUCAGGCUCUAAGCGUAGUAAUUUCAUCGCUAUAGACACCUGGUGGACACUCGCCAGAACCCCCCAUUUUUUAAU
rnacentral:misc_RNA from 1 species